UACGUAGGUGGCAAGCGUUAUCCGGAAUUAUUGGGCGUAAAGCGCGCGCAGGCGGUUUCUUAAGUCUGAUGUGAAAGCCCACGGCUCAACCGUGGAGGGUCAUUGGAAACUGGGGAACUUGAGUGCAGAAGAGAAAAGCGGAAUUCCACGUGUAGCGGUGAAAUGUGUAGAGAUCGGGAGGAACACCGGUGGCGAAGGCGGGUCUCUGGGCAAUUCCUGACGCUGAGGCGCGAAAGCGUGGGGAGCAAACAGG
rnacentral:rRNA from 1 species